GAUGAACGCUGGCGGCGUGCCUAAUACAUGCAAGUCGAGCGAACGGACGAGAAGCUUGCUUCUCUGAUGUUAGCGGCGGACGGGUGAGUAACACGUGGAUAACCUACCUAUAAGACUGGGAUAACUUCGGGAAACCGGAGCUAAUACCGGAUAAUAUUUUGAACCGCAUGGUUCAAAAGUGAAAGACGGUCUUGCUGUCACUUAUAGAUGGAUCCGCGCUGCAUUAGCUAGUUGGUAAGGUAACGGCUUACCAAGGCAACGAUGCAUAGCCGACCUGAGAGGGUGAUCGGCCACACUGGAACUGAGACACGGUCCAGACUCCUACGGGAGGCAGCAGUAGGGAAUCUUCCGCAAUGGGCGAAAGCCUGACGGAGCAACGCCGCGUGAGUGAUGAAGGUCUUCGGAUCGUAAAACUCUGUUAUUAGGGAAGAACAUAUGUGUAAGUAACUGUGCACAUCUUGACGGUACCUAAUCAGAAAGCCACGGCUAACUACGCGCCAGCAGCCGCGGUAAUACGUAGGUGGCAAGCGUUAUCCGGAAUUAUUGGGCGUAAAGCGCGCGUAGGCGGUUUUUUAAGUCUGAUGUGAAAGCCCACGGCUCAACCGUGGAGGGUCAUUGGAAACUGGAAAACUUGAGUGCAGAAGAGGAAAGUGGAAUUCCAUGUGUAGCGGUGAAAUGCGCAGAGAUAUGGAGGAACACCAGUGGCGAAGGCGACUUUCUGGUCUGUAACUGACGCUGAUGUGCGAAAGCGUGGGGAUCAAACAGGAUUAGAUACCCUGGUAGUCCACGCCGUAAACGAUGAGUGCUAAGUGUUAGGGGGUUUCCGCCCCUUAGUGCUGCAGCUAACGCAUUAAGCACUCCGCCUGGGGAGUACGACCGCAAGGUUGAAACUCAAAGGAAUUGACGGGGACCCGCACAAGCGGUGGAGCAUGUGGUUUAAUUCGAAGCAACGCGAAGAACCUUACCAAAUCUUGACAUCCUUUGACAACUCUAGAGAUAGAGCUUUCCCCUUCGGGGGACAAAGUGACAGGUGGUGCAUGGUUGUCGUCAGCUCGUGUCGUGAGAUGUUGGGUUAAGUCCCGCAACGAGCGCAACCCUUAAGCUUAGUUGCCAUCAUUAAGUUGGGCACUCUAAGUUGACUGCCGGUGACAAACCGGAGGAAGGUGGGGAUGACGUCAAAUCAUCAUGCCCCUUAUGAUUUGGGCUACACACGUGCUACAAUGGACAAUACAAAGGGCAGCGAAACCGCGAGGUCAAGCAAAUCCCAUAAAGUUGUUCUCAGUUCGGAUUGUAGUCUGCAACUCGACUACAUGAAGCUGGAAUCGCUAGUAAUCGUAGAUCAGCAUGCUACGGUGAAUACGUUCCCGGGUCU
rnacentral:rRNA from 1 species